GGUAACUCCGGGGCAGCGGCGACGUGAAUACGGGGGGGGCAAGCGUUACUCGGAAGCACUGGGCGUAAAGAGCAUGUAGGCGGAUUAAUAAGUUUGAAGUGAAAUCCUAUAGCUUAACUAUAGAACUGCUUGGAAAACUGUUAAUCUAGAAUGUGGGAGAGGUAGAUGGAAUUUCUGGUGUAGGGGUAAAAUCCGUAGAGAUCAGAAGGAAUACCGAGUGCGAAGGCGAUCUACUGGAACAUUAUUGACGCUGAGAUGCGAAAGCGUGGGGAGCAAACAGGAUUAGAUACCCGAGUAGUC
rnacentral:rRNA from 1 species